AUGUUUGCAACCCUUGAUAAUCGUCGCCUAAAAUACUUUUGGGGACGUUUAUGGAGCGAUACUCUUUUAUUUUUUUGCCAACGUAAAACACAUCUUCUUCAAAAAUCUCAAACAUCAGCAAAAUUGUUUUUCAAAUCCAACAAAUUCGUCCUUCAAGAACGCCUCCACGAGCUUUCUUCUCAGAAUCAGGUUCAAGAGAAAGCUCUACCAACAUCUUCCAUCUUCCAUUGA